AUCCCUAUGUCAGCUCUUAAGGAAUGCACAGACAGUAAUGGUGGAGAGAUGGAAGGGGGUGAUCUCAGAGUUGGACAGGAAAUGGAGGCUUGAAGCCAGAUCAGGGCCAAAGAUUACAAACUGCUUCAGCCUGAGGCAUGAAGGAAGAUGGAAUCAAUGGUGAGAUUGUGAAGAAGAAGAAGAAAGCUCUUAACUCCGCGUAGAGUCAUCGGGACGCUGUCAUGACGGUGUUUUUUUAGCAGGCUUUCUUAUUUUUACGAGGCCGAUUUGCUAGCUCAACGCUCAGCCCAGCACGGAUGGAAAACGUGCAAGGGAGCCGGCUGGAUUCGAACUCGGGAGCCCUCGCUCUGAAGUCCGGCGCUGAUGCCACUACGCCACCAGCUGGCCUUUUACCUCCUUACCACAGCAUAUACUUGCUGAACUGAUUAAAAGAUUACCUUUACCUUAUAGAUUAAA